UACGUAGGGUGCAAGCGUUAAUCGGAAUUACUGGGCGUAAAGCGUGCGCAGGCGGUUUUGUAAGUCAGAUGUGAAAUCCCCGGGCUUAACCUGGGAACUGCGUUUGAAACUACAAGGCUAGAGUGAUGGCAGAGGGGGGUGGAAUUCCACGUGUAGCAGUGAAAUGCGUAGAGAUGUGGAGGAACACCGAUGGCGAAGGCAGCCCCCUGGGUUAACACUGACGCUCAGGCACGAAAGCGUGGGGAGCAAACAGG
rnacentral:rRNA from 1 species